AGAGCAGAGUACAGUAAACAGAGAAAGAAUAAAUCCUCCUGUGUGAAGCUGACGCCAACUCAAUGCGUGUGCUCUCUCUAUUCGUUAUCACAGACCAGUCAUGGAAAAUCCCGCCUGGCCCCAAAGAAGUCACUUCUGGCUCUGGACCUGGAGUUGUCACUUCCAGUUCUGGGCCUGAAGACAUCACUUCUGGUUCCAGCCCUGAUGACCUCAUUUCCUCUGCAUAACUUUAAAGCCUCCAUUUUGUCACCUAUACAUAAGUUCCAUCUUGAACUCAGUUGAAAUUUGUUUUUCUUUGACUGACCAGCAGCAAAACACAAUAUAUGGAGUUGCUACCCCCAAACCUUUUUUGAAUUUAUCAUUCGUUUUGUUCUGACACUGGCGUAGUUGGCAAGAUGAUGGACUCCCAGAUGUUCCUGAAGCAGGACCUGAAACAAUACAUGGAAGGACCAACAUCCACAAAUAACCAAAGGGAAUGUGUCCUCACCACCAAGGCAGAGCCCUUGGUGAAAUGUGGGGGUGCCCCAGACCAGCAGUGUGCUGCAGCCUCCUGUGAUGCUGGGAAGAUGAAGAGAGCUUAACAAGAAUAUCCUAUUCAUAGGAAGACAUUUAUGGACAGGAGCAGUCUUUUGGCUUUGGAACCCUACAGACCAUCCAUGGGAGAUUCCACCUGGCCCUGUUGAUGUCACUUCUGGGCCUGAGCCUAUAAAGGAAGACCUUGUCGGCUCCGGCCCCUUUGAUGUUACGUCCGGGCUCAAGCCUAUGGCUGAAGACCCUUAUGAGCCCGACCCAUCUGACUUCACUUCCUGUCUUCCCCUUUAAAAGCCUCUCUUGCCACUUACUGGUUCUUUAUUAAACUGUUCUUUUUGG